GACGAACGCUGGCGGCGUGCCUAAUACAUGCAAGUCGAACGCAUUUUCUUUCACCGUAGCUUGCUACACCGAAAGAAAAUGAGUGGCGAACGGGUGAGUAACACGUGGGUAACCUGCCCAUCAGCGGGGGAUAACACUUGGAAACAGGUGCUAAUACCGCAUAAUUCCAUUUACCGCAUGGUAGAUGGAUGAAAGGCGCUUUUGCAUCACUGAUGGAUGGACCCGCGGUGCAUUAGCUAGUUGGUGGGGUAACGGCCUACCAAGGCUGCGAUGCAUAGCCGACCUGAGAGGGUGAUCGGCCACACUGGGACUGAGACACGGCCCAGACUCCUACGGGAGGCAGCAGUAGGGAAUCUUCGGCAAUGGACGCAAGUCUGACCGAGCAACGCCGCGUGAGUGAAGAAGGUUUUCGGAUCGUAAAACUCUGUUGUUAGAGAAGAACAAGGAUGAGAGUGGAAAGUUCAUCCCUUGACGGUAUCUAACCAGAAAGCCACGGCUAACUACGUG
rnacentral:rRNA from 1 species